UGGUUAAUAGAUCUAAAUCUUUUUUUUGUCCAAAAGAAAAUGAUUUUUGAGACAAAAUAUUAAGACGAUCCACUCUGAAGGUAUUCAUCGCCGGCGCAAGAGUACCGAGCGGCAAAAUCCAACUGAAGGCGGUACACUAUAUCCCUGAAGGCGGUACAGCAUCACCAAUGGACCGAAAAUCUUACAGAUGGUGCUCUCAGAAUCUCCAACUUGAUAAUCACACCAGAAACCUUCAGCCAUGCACGUAAGGACACGAACAAUUAUUAUUAACCAAGUCGCGAAGAGCGUGAGCGGGCGGCUAGCGCCGGCCCCCCACGUAAGUUGUUGUGGCGGUACUGAACUUUAAAUACCGGCAGCCCCGCCAGUCUGUAUGGCUAGCACCGUCAACAGCAACAAUAUUCUAGUAUAAAGCUAAAGGGUUGCGCGUUGCCCGCUUCCUGAUUCUUGCACACUAAUUCUGUUACCAUCCACGCUUAAUUAUAUGCGACCAACCGUAAAAUGCCACCGCUUGAAACUUAUUCCCGCAAAAUCCUGCGAAUUCCAGUAAACAAUCGCCGACACCCGACAGCACAGCCAGCUUCCGAGGGUUCUGCGCUAGUCUCAUGGAGUAAAAUGCGUAAAAAGAUGAAGAAGAAGAAACUGUAGGUAUUUUGCAAAUUUCAGCAAGACAUAGUACUACAGAACUUGUAGCAUACACGCUAGAUAGUGCACUUCACGCCUUCUGCGCGGCGAAACCAAGGGGCAAAUGGCGUGACAAGCUAGUAGCGUCCGCGCCGCGCCAGUGGACCGAUGGGUGGGCGGUCAGGCCACCGUGGCCGUGGCCGGGGCCGGCAGCGAGGCGGGGCCGACCACCAGCGAGGCGUCGCCGGAGAGAGGGAUGACGCCGCCGCGGG
rnacentral:lncRNA from 1 species